rnacentral:rRNA from 1 species
GGCCAGACUCCUACGGGAGGCAGCAGUGGGGAAUAUUGCACAAUGGGGGAAACCCUGAUGCAGCGACGCCGCGUGAAGGAAGAAGUAUUUCGGUAUGUAAACUUCUAUCAGCAGGGAAGAAAAUGACGGUACCUGACUAAGAAGCCCCGGCUAACUACGUGCCAGCAGCCGCGGUAAUACGUAGGGGGCAAGCGUUAUCCGGAUUUACUGGGUGUAAAGGGGGCGCAGACGGCGAUGCAAGCCAGGAGUGAAAGCCCGGGGCCCAACCCCGGGACUGCUCUUGGAACUGCGUGGCUGGAGUGCAGGAGGGGCAGGCGGAAUUCCUGGUGUAGCGGUGAAAUGCGUAGAUAUCCGGAGGAACACCGGUGGCGAAGGCGGCCUGCUGGACUGCAACUGACGUUGAGGCUCGAAAGCGUGGGGAUCAAACAGGAUUAGAUACCCUAGUAC